rnacentral:rRNA from 1 species
UACGAAGGGUGCAAACGUUGCUCGAAUUAUUGGCGUAAAGCGCACGUAGGCGGCUAUUGCAAGUCGGAUGUGAAAAUCUUAUGGACUUGAAACCAUAAAAGUUGCAUCCGAAACUGCAGUGCUUGAGUGACUUAAGGAGGAGUCGACGGGAAUUCCCGGUGUAGAGGUGAAAAUUCGUAGAUAAUCGGGAGGAACACCGAAGUGGCCGAAAGGCGG